rnacentral:lncRNA from 8 species
AUGAAUGUAUAUUCUUAUUCUGUGCAGAAUCGGUGUAAUUUGACCUACAACACAAAUGCGCAUCAUGACUUCAACAAAGAAGGCAACUUGGAACGUAUCCUAUCCUCCCAUGUGAUCAUUCUCUUUCCCGAUCUCUUGAUCUAUCCACCAGGCUGCAUUUUAAAGUGUCCAGUGCAUCCGGGGAAAAUGAUUUUCCCUAUUCUCAAGAUUCUUGCCAAUAGAACUUCAAAGGAGGUAAAUCUGCAGUACAUUUAAAUUCCUGUGACUGUAUUUACAGGCUAAUCCUAGUGCAACACCAAUUGUAGUUAACUUGCAGUGCAUAGACCUUGUAGUUAAAGUGGCAAUAUGUAACUUUUUGGGUGGCCGGACCAAAUUCACAUAGAAAUGUUAGUUACAGAUCAUCAUUCUAUUUGAAAGCAAGUCUAAGAAGCGGUAGAUCUGUUCUACAGUGUGCGUUAUUUCUAUGCUCAACACCAUAUGUAUUUGGACAGUGAAGCUAAAAUGUACAAUUUGACUCUAAACUCCAGCAUUUUGGAUUUGAGAUCAGUUUCUUAUGAGGCGAUAGUACAGGGCACCUUUUUACAAUUACGAAAUGAAAUCACUUUAUGUAUAUAGUCCCCCCAAUUUGAAGAAGCCAUAAGUAUUUGGACAAAUUCACUUAAAGUGUAUUAAAGUUAUAGUACAUGAAACCUUUUAUUUAAAAUACUAAAUCCUGAGUAUGGAUCCAAAUUUCACAUUUUAUGUUCACUCUCCAAAUACAAUGGUUUUGGCUGUACCUUGGUAUUGGACGUCACAGUGCCUUGCAAAAGUAGUCAAACCCCUUGGAAACGCCUUUGACAGUGAUUAUAGCUGUGAGUUUUCUUAGGUAAGUCUUUUAGAGCUUAACACACCAGGAUUGUGCAACAUUAGCCCAUUAUUCUUUUUAUAAUUCUUCAAGCUCUGUCAAUAUGUUGGGGAUCAUGUCUAGACAACAAUUUAAAAGUCUUCAAUAGAUUUCCAAUCAG